rnacentral:ncRNA from 1 species
UUGAGUGAACAAUCAUUAAGGAACUCGGCAAAUUGACUACCGUAACUUCGGGAUAAGGAGGGCCAUUAUUAUUAAUUUAACAUACUAAAAAUAUGAUAAAAUUAAAUUAAUAAUAAGAGGAAACAUAAAAUAAUGUUGUACGACUGUUUAAUAAAAACACAGCACUCUGCAAAGAUAAAAUAUCAAAGUAUUGAGUGUGAUGUCUGCCCAAUGUCGGCUGGGUAACGGAUUUACCUUAGUUUUUAACUAAGGUUUUGAAGGACACCCCGAUUAAUGGCGGCCUUACCUAUGAGGGUCCUAAGGUAGCGAAAUACCUUGGCCGUUAAAUGCGGUCCUGCAUGAAUGACUUAACGAUACAACAGCUGUCUCGAUGAUUGUCUCA